rnacentral:rRNA from 1 species
UACAGAGGGGGCAAGCGUUAUUCGGAAUUAUUGGGCGUAAAGGGCGCGUAGGCGGCUUUGCAAGUGACGGGUGAAAUCCCUCGGCUUAACCGAGGAACUGCCUGUCAGACUGUGAGGCUUGAGACCGGGAGAGGUGAGUGGAAUUCCCAGUGUAGCGGUGAAAUGCGUAGAUAUUGGGAGGAACACCAGUGGCGAAGGCGGCUCACUGGACCGGAACUGACGCUGAGGCGCGAGAGCGUGGGGAGCAAACAGG